GAUGAACGCUGGCGGCGUGCCUAAUACAUGCAAGUCGAGCGAACGGACGAGAAGCUUGCUUCUCUGAUGUUAGCGGCGGACGGGUGAGUAACACGUGGAUAACCUACCUAUAUGACUGGGAUAACUUCGGGAAACCGGAGCUAAUACCGGAUGAUAUUUUGAACCGCAUGGUUCAAAAGUGAAAGACGGUCUUGCUGUCACUUAUAGAUGGAUCCGCGCUGCAUUAGCUAGUUGGUAAGGUAAUGGCUUACCAAGGCAACGAUGCAUAGCCGACCUGAGAGGGUGAUCGGCCACACUGGAACUGAGACACGGUCCAGACUCCUACGGGAGGCAGCAGUAGGGAAUCUUCCGCAAAGGGCGAAAGCCUGACGGAGCAACGCCGCGUGAGUGAUGAAGGUCUUCGGAUCGUAAAACUCUGUUAUUAGGGAAGAACAUAUGUGUAAGUAACUGUGCACAUCUUGACGGUACCUAAUCAGAAAGCCACGGCUAACUACGUG
rnacentral:rRNA from 1 species